ACGCUCGACACCUACGGGAAGCAGCAGUGGGGAAUAUUGCACAAUGGGGGAAACCCUGAUGCAGCGACGCCGCGUGGAGGAAGAAGGUCUUCGGAUUGUAAACUCCUGUUGUUGGGGAAAAAGAGGAUGGUACCCAACAAGGAAGUGACGGCUAACUACGUGCCAGCAGCCGCGGUAAUCUGAGGCGGGCUGGCAAGGC
rnacentral:rRNA from 1 species